rnacentral:lncRNA from 1 species
AACUUUUUUUUAUGCCCCACCUACGAUAGUAGAGGGGCAUUAUGUUUUCUGGUCUGUGCGUCCGUUCGUUCGUCCGUCCGUUUGUUCGUUCGUUCGUCCGUCUGUCCCGCUUCAGGUUAAAGUUUUUGGUCGAGGUAGUUUUUGAUGAAGUUGAAGUCCAAUCGACUUCAAACUUGGUACACAUGUUCCCUAUGAUAUGAUCUUUCUAAUUUAAAGCCAAAUUAGAGAUUUUACCCCAAUUUCACGGUCCACUGAACAUAGAAAAUGAUAGUGCGAGUGGGGCAUUCGUGUACUGAGGACACAUUCUUGUUUAAAC